UACGUAGGCAGCGAGCGUUGUUCGGAAUUACUGGGCGUAAAGAGUGUGUAGGCGGUGCUCUAAGUUCGGUGUGAAAUCUCCUGGCUCAACUGGGAGGGUGCGCCGGAAACUGGAGUGCUUGAGCGUGGGAGAGGAAAGCGGAAUUCCUGGUGUAGCGGUGAAAUGCGUAGAUAUCUGGAGGAACACCAGUGGCGAAAGCGCGUGACUGGGCCACAACUGACGCUGAGGAACGAAAGCUAGGGUAGCGAAAGGG
rnacentral:rRNA from 1 species